GAAAUGCGAUACGUCAUGCGAAUUGCAGAAACUUGUGAGUCAUCAAAAUUUUGAACGCAACUUGCACUUCCCUCUGGGGAGUAUGUCUGUUGGAGUGUCUGUUCAUCCCCACUUCUCGCCCAGCGUCUUGUCACAGAGACGAUUGGAUGAGAGAGCGCCGGCCGCUUGUCGCACCGCAGUGUCAAAGCUGCGGACGGGCAAGCGAGCCUAGAUGAGACACCACCGAUCAACCGAACUCGCCCCUGCUUCGGGAUCGCCGGCCGUCAAAAAGCCGACAGUCCUCAACAGCUCGGUCGACGCGACGUGAAAGCAGCCUUCGCGGGCAGCUCCCAUAACGCGUCUUCACUCCAAACGAGCCCAAGAAGCCCCGGCACCCAAAGAGUUCAUCCGACCGGACCUC
rnacentral:misc_RNA from 1 species